UGCUUCCCUUGACGACGACUGGCGCACGGGUGAGUAACGCGUAUCCAACCUUCCCAUGACCACGGGAUAACCCGUUGAAAGACGGACUAAUACCGUAUNACAUCGUUUGCUGACAUCAAAUAACGAUUAAAGGUUUNGCGGUGNUGGAUGGGGAUGCGUCUGAUUAGCUUGUUGGNGGGGUAACGGCCCACCAAGGCUACGAUCAGUAGGGGUUCUGAGAGGAAGGUCCCCCACAUUGGAACUGAGACACGGUCCAAACUCCUACGGGAGGCAGCAGUGAGGAAUAUUGGUCAAUGGGCGAGAGCCUGAACCAGCCAAGUAGCGUGCAGGAUGACGGCCCUAUGGGUUGUAAACUGCUUUUAUGCGGGGAUAAAGUGCGUGACGUGUCAUGCAUUGCAGGUACCGCAUGAAUAAGGACCGGCUAAUUCCGUGCCAGCAGCCGCGGUAAUACGGAAGGUCCGGGCGUUAUCCGGAUUUAUUGGGUUUAAAGGGAGCGUAGGCCGCCAGAUAAGCGUGUUGUGAAAUGUACCGGCUCAACCGGUGAAUUGCAGCGCGAACUGUUUGGCUUGAGUGCACGGUAAGCAGGCGGAAUUCAUGGUGUAGCGGUGAAAUGCUUAGAUAUCAUGAAGAACUCCGAUUGCGAAGGCAGCUUGCUGCAGUGCGACUGACGCUGAUGCUCGAAGGUGCGGGUAUCAAACAGGAUUAGAUACCCUGGUAGUCCGCACGGUAAACGAUGGAUGCCCGCUGUCCGCCUAUUGUGGCGGGUGGCCAAGCGAAAGCGUUAAGCAUCCCACCUGGGGAGUACGCCGGCAACGGUGAAACUCAAAGGAAUUGACGGGGGCCCGCACAAGCGGAGGAACAUGUGGUUUAAUUCGAUGAUACGCGAGGAACCUUACCCGGGCUUGAACUGCCAGUGAACGAUACAGAGAUGUUGAGGCCCUUCGGGGCGCUGGUGGAGGUGCUGCAUGGUUGUCGUCAGCUCGUGCCGUGAGGUGUCGGCUUAAGUGCCAUAACGAGCGCAACCCCUUUUUUCAGUUGCCAUCAGGUAAUGCUGGGCACUCUGGAGAUACUGCCACCGCAAGGUGUGAGGAAGGUGGGGAUGACGUCAAAUCAGCACGGCCCUUACGUCCGGGGCUACACACGUGUUACAAUGGGGCAUACAGAGUGUUGGCUUAACGCAAGUUUGGUCUAAUCUUCAAAGUGUCUCCCAGUUCGGACUG
rnacentral:rRNA from 1 species